rnacentral:misc_RNA from 1 species
CAUGCACGACGCCGGGCCAUCCGUUGCACCGCACGUAUCGCUGCUGGAGCACACGCGCCCAUCACCACGUACACAGAGUAACCCCCCCCCCCCUGAGACACUUACGAAAACAACGUUCCGCCUAUUCCGCCCGCGCUUGGCAAAGAUGGCGGGACCGGCAGCUGCAGAAGUGAAAGAAAUGGAGACGAAGCGCGACCUGUCGAUCCUGCAGAACGGCCGUCCCGUCCCGGGGUGCCGGAACACGUGCGAGCUGCUCGAGGCGCACGAGAAGGUCACCGGCGGGAAGCCGUACUUCCGCUUCCCCCCGGAGCCGAAUGGCUUCCUGCACAUUGGCCAUGCCAAGAGCAUGAACCUCAACUUCGGCAGCGCACGUGCGCACGGUGGCAAGUGCUACCUGCGCUACGACGAUACGAACCCUGAGUCGGAGGAUCAGGUCUACAUUGACGCUAUCAUGGAGAUGGUGGACUGGAUGGGGUGGAAACCGGACUGGGUCACCUUCUCCUCCGACUACUUCGACCAGCUGCACACCUUCGCCGUGCAGCUCAUCAAGGAUGGGAAGGCCUACGUCGAUCACAGCACGCCAGACGAGCUGAAGCAGCAGCGGGAGCAGCGCGAGGACAGCCCAUGGCGCAACCGCAGCGUCGAGGAGAAUCUGCUCCUCUUCAAGCACAUGCGCCAGGGCCGCUACGCCGAGGGCGAGGCGACGCUUCGCGUGAAGGCCGAUAUGAAGAGCGACAACCCGAACAUGCGCGACUUCAUUGCGUACCGCGUCAAGUACGUCGAGCACCCGCACAUCAAGGACAAGUGGUGCAUCUACCCAAGCUACGACUUCACCCACUGCCUCAUUGACUCGCUCGAGGACAUCGACUACAGCCUGUGCACGCUGGAGUUCGAGACGCGCCGCGAGAGCUACUUCUGGCUGCUGAACGAGCUCAACCUGUGGCGUCCGUACGUGUGGGAGUUCAGCCGCCUCAACGUGACGGGCUCGCUGCUCUCGAAACGUAAGAUCAACGUGCUGGUGCGCAAGGGCAUUGUCCGCGGGUUUGACGACCCCCGCCUGCUCACCCUUGCUGGCAUGCGUCGCCGCGGGUACACUCCGGCCGCCAUUAACCGCUUCUGCGAGCUGGUUGGUAUCACCCGCUCCAUGAAUGUAAUUCAGAUCAGCAUGCUGGAGAACACCCUGCGCGAGGACCUCGACGAGCGCUGCGAGCGCCGGCUGAUGGUGAUUGACCCAAUCAAGGUGGUGGUGGACAACUGGAAGGGGGAGCGGAUCUUCGAGUGCCCGAACCACCCGCGCAAGCCUGAGCUCGGUAGCCGCGCCUUGACAUUUACGGACACCUUCUACGUCGACCGCAGUGACUUCCACACAGACGACGACAACAACAAGUUCUACGGACUCGCCCCUGGCCCACGCGUGGUGGGCCUCAAGUACUCAGGCAACGUUGUGUGCAAGAGCUUCGAGGUGGACGCCAAGGGACAGCCGAUGGUGAUUCAUGUAGACAUCGACUUCGAGCGUAAAGACAAGCCGAAGACAAAUAUCUCCUGGGUGAGCGCGACGGCAUGUACGCCGGUGGAGGUGCGCUUGUACAACGCGCUUCUCAAGGACGACCGUGCCGCCAUCGAUCCCGAGUUUCUCAAGUUCAUCGACGAGAAGAGCGAGGUGGUGUCGCACGGGUACGCGGAGAAGGGCGUCGAGAACUUCAAGCACUUCGAGUCGGUCCAGGCGGAACGCUUCGGGUACUUUGUCGUCGACCCUGAUACGACGGCCGACCACCUCGUCAUGAACCGAGUGCUGGGCCUGCGCGAGGACAAAAGCAAGGCCACCGUUGCCGAGCCGGUGCCUGCGAAGAGGAAGUAGCAGCAGCGGCACCGACGCAGCAGGAAACACGGGCAGAGGGCGGUCACGCCUCUCUUCUUCGUCAGCUUUUUUUUUCGCGCGCUGUUGUUGCAGAAAGGCGGCGGAGGCAGCUCAGAGGACAGGGAGGAGGGCAGCGCACGCAGUGGCGGUGCUCUGGUCUGCAGCGCUGCACGGCAAUAGCAGGUGUGACACACACACACACACACACACAAUCGGGUGUAUGCAAGGCGGCGGCUCAUCUCCAUCGUACCAGCUGUCCCCCCCCCCCUCACCACCACCUCCCUACCGCCUCUUCCAAGAUAUGUGCCUCUCCUUCUUGUGCUGCGGCUCGCACCGCCAUCAUCGCCAUAUCGCUCUCUCUCCUUCUUGCCUGCGCUCAUCUUUCCGGCUCACCAGCAAGACGAGCGUGACUGCGGUGUGACACGAUUUGACCACGCUCGGCAGGGGAGGAGGAGCUGAAAACUGGAAAGGCAAGCAUCUGCGAUCUAAGUGGGGAGGGGGAACGGUCGUACUGUUCGCAUGUGUGCGUAUGUAUGUGUUGGAUCUUUUCCUUUUCCGUAGCCUGCUGCUAGCAUUGGCCCGUCAACGCCACGCAUGCCACCACGACUGGCCCACCCAUUCUAAUCGCACAUCGCUCAAGCACACAUGCUCAUGCCCUUGACCGGGAACGGAGGAGAUCAAGGCUAACAGAUCAGCGAAGAGAGAUAAGAGACGCAGUCAGUGCCGAUGCGCAAGCGAAGAAGAUGUGCCGGCUAACUCUACGUUGACGUUGUUGUAUGCGACGCUGCGAGCAACC